AUUGAACGCUGGCGGCAGGCCUAACACAUGCAAGUCGAACGGUAACAGGAAGCAGCUUGCUGCUUUGCUGACGAGUGGCGGACGGGUGAGUAAUGUCUGGGAAACUGCCUGAUGGAGGGGGAUAACUACUGGAAACGGUAGCUAAUACCGCAUAACGUCGCAAGACCAAAGAGGGGGACCUUCGGGCCUCUUGCCAUCGGAUGUGCCCAGAUGGGAUUAGCUAGUAGGUGGUAACGGCUCACCUAGGCGACGAUCCCUAGCUGGUCUGAGAGGAUGACCAGCCACACUGGAACUGAGACACGGUCCAGACUCCUACGGGAGGCAGCAGUGGGGAAUAUUGCACAAUGGGCGCAAGCCUGAUGCAGCCAUGCCGCGUGUAUGAAGAAGGCCUCCGGGUUGUAAAGUACUUUCAGCGGGGAGCAAGGGAGUAAAGUUAAUACCUUUGCUCAUUGACGUUACCCGCAGAAGAAGCACCGGCUAACUCCGUG
rnacentral:rRNA from 1 species